UGCCUUGUGGGAGUUGUAGUUCUUGGAGAAGCCCCACCUUUCCCUUUGUAGUGCCCGCCUGCCUGAGGCUGUGAGCGCUCCUAAGAGAACUAGAGAGAACCUGGGAAAACGCUGUGAUAACAGACCAUUUCACCCCUGGAACUUUCACAUAUCUUACUGUGGAUCAGAAAGUCUCAGACAAGGAAUGGGCUGGAAGAAGAUCCCAGCCUUGUUCAGACGAAGAGGCGGAAGCAGAACAAGGUGUGCAUUCUCCAGAUGAGGAAAAAUGAGGUGAAAGAGGAAGACAAGGAGGACAAGGAGGAUGAGGAAGAGGAGGAGGACCAGAGAGAGGGGCCCCCUACCUCUUUGCAAUCACCUAGGACAGGACAGAGGCAAUGCCCGUACUCAAGAAUCCGCCAAGUGAGGCACAAGGAGCACCUGAGCAUCUUGGAAAGUAGCUUGAGCUUAUCCACCAAUGAAACCAAGUUGUCUGUCCAUGUUUUUGCCAAUACUUAUGUAGCUGCUGCCACAGGAAGCAGAAGUCAGUGGAGGAAAACAAGGCAUCCGACUCUGGAGCAAGGAGGAGCCCGGGUGAGACUGACUCAGCUGUGAGCUUCACUAAUGGGUGAUGGUCCAGAUCUCCACGGGGCUCCAAGGAAAGCUCUGGGCAGAAGCCAGAAGAGCAGAGUGUAAUCCUUCCGCUUAGAAAUAAAGCAUAUUUUAUUUUUGUGAA